rnacentral:rRNA from 1 species
GAUGAACGCUGGCGGCAGGCUUAAUACAUGCAAGUCGAGCGGGCACUUCGGUGUCAGCGGCGCACGGGUGCGUAACGCGUGGGAACAUGCCCUUAGGUACGGAACAACACAGGGAAACUUGUGCUAAUACCGUAUAAUAUCUCCGGAUCAAAGAUUUAUCGCCUAAGGAUUGGCCCGCGUUAGAUUAGGUAGUUGGUGGGGUAAUGGCCUACCAAGCCGACGAUCUGUAGCUGGUCUGAGAGGAUGAUCAGCCACACUGGAACUGAGACACGGUCCAGACUCCUACGGGAGGCAGCAGUAAGGAAUAUUGGACAAUGGGCGAAAGCUUGAUCCAGCCAUGCCGCGUGAGUGAUGAAGGCCUUAGGGUUGUAAAGCUCUUUUAGAUGGGAAGAUAAUGACUGUACCAUCAGAAUAAGCCCCGGCUAAAUUCGUGCCAGCAGCCGCAGUAA